rnacentral:rRNA from 1 species
GACGAACACUGGCGGCGUGCUUAACACAUGCAAGUCGAACGAGACGAUUGAAAGCUUGCUUUUAAAAGUCGAGUGGCAAACGGGUGAGUAACGCGUAGACAACCUGCCUUUGAGAUGGGGACAACAGUUCGAAAGGACUGCUAAUACCGAAUGUUGUAUAUUUUCCACAUGGAAGAUAUAUUAAAGAUGGCCUCUAUUUAUAAGCUAUCGCUCAAAGAUGGGUCUGCGUCUGAUUAGCUAGUUGGGGGGGUAACGGCCUACCAAGGCGACGAUCAGUAGCCGGUCUGAGAGGAUGAACGGCCACAUUGGGACUGAGACACGGCCCAGACUCCUACGGGAGGCAGCAGUGGGGAAUCUUCCACAAUGGACGAAAGUCUGAUGGAGCAACGCCGCGUGAGUGAAGAAGGGUUUCGGCUCGUAAAGCUCUGUUGUCGGGGACGAAUGUGCAGUAUUUGAAUAAAGUACUGCAAUGACGGUACCUGACGAGGAAGCCACGGCUAACUACGUGCCAGCCGCCGCUGUAA